rnacentral:misc_RNA from 1 species
GAUGAAGAACGUAGCGAAAUGCGAUAAGUAAUGUGAAUUGCAGAAUUCAGUGAAUCAUCGAAUCUUUGAACGCACCUUGCACCCUUUGGCAUUCCGAAGGGUAUGCUCGUUUGAGUGUCAUUGUACUCUCACUCUCCCGAUCUUUGGAUCGGGAGUGGUGGACUUGGGUGUUGCUGCUUUACCGUGGCUCACCUCAAAUGGAUUCGUGCAACUCCUGGUUGGACAUAGUACGGCGUGAUAAGUGUCUUCGCCGGCACCUCAUAAGAGGGUGGCCGAUCAGGAGCUCUGUGCUUUCAAACUGUCUUCGGACAAUCUCUGACAACUUGACCUCAAAUCGAGUAGGACUACCCGCUGAACUUAAGCAUAUCAAUAAGCGGAGGA